GAGAAAUGCAUUUGACCGGUACAAAAGCUGGCGCUCGCAAGAGCAGCGUGUAUGGAUGAACUAGGUUAAAAUGGUAAUAGCGUAGCAGUCUUGCACUGGCGCUAGGCUGUGUGAAUUUCUGCCCUAUCAGCUUUCGAUGGUAGUGCAGUGGACUACCGUGGCAUCUACGGGUAACGAGGAAUCAGGGUUUGAUUUCGGAGAGGGAGCUCUAGAAACGGCUACCACAUCUAAGGAAGGCAGCAGGCGCGCAAAUUGCCCAAUACCAGCACUGGUGAGGCAGCGACGAACAAUAACAACUCCGCACACUUCGGUUUGUGGAGAUUGUAAUGGACGGUAUCCAAAACCAUCAAUGAGUAUCAAUUGGAGGGCAAGUCUGGUGCCAGCAGCCGCGGUAAUUCCAGCUCCAAUAGCGUAUGCUAACGUUGUUGCUGUUAAAAAGCUCGUAGUUGGGCAAAGAGUUAGCCAUUGCAAAGCGGGCCCAGAAGGGUAGCUUGUUCAGUGACACCUCGGUGUACCUGGCAGGUUAUCUUGAUGGGAUACAAACCCUUUGCGUACGAUGUCUGCUCUUUGCACAUGGAAGUAGAACUCUCGCGGAAGCUACCUUGAUUGGUAGUGAAAGUAGUUCCGCAUUUAACACAUGCACAAGGGAGUGUCCGUGGUAGUUACUGUGAACAAAACAGCGUGUUCAAGGCAACCCUUUGCAUGGUUGCAUGAUUCAGCAUAGAAUAACAAGGUAUCGAACAUGGGAUCGUCUUUUGGCCAGUCUUCUAGAUCAACGUGUAGAAUGCAGGACAGGAUGGCUGGCAGGUGCGCAGUCAUGCGGGUUUUCCCAAAUGCUGCUAACCUGUCAGUACCUGUAUCUAUCGGGAUUAACGGAUUCCAUCGGGGAGAUGGGUAUUGUCAAGCUAGAGGUGAAAUUCUUAGAACUUUGCAGGUCCAACGAAGGCGCAGGCAUUUCUCAAGCGUGUUUUCAUUGAUCAAGAACGAGAGUUUGGGGAUCGAAGAUGAUCAGAUACCGUCGUAGUCCACACCGUAAACUAUGCCGAUCGGGUAUUGGAUGUUCUGUUCAAACUCCCGAUGUGUCCGGGACUUUCACUUACCUUUAUAAGAGAAAUCCGAAUGUAUGGGUUCAGGGGGGAGUACAUUCGCAAGGCCGAAACUUAAAGGAAUUGACGGAAUGACACCACCAGGCGUGGAGUGUGCGGCUUAAUUUGACACAACACGGGGAACUUUACCAGGUCAGGACAAUGCAAGGAUUGACAGAUUGAGAGCUCUUUCUUGAUUCAUUGGAUGGUGGUGCAUGGCCGGUCUUGGUUCAUGGGGUGACCUGUCUUCUUAACUGCGGUAACGAACGAGAUCUCUUCCCUUAACCAGGUGUUUGAUUCAUUAU
rnacentral:rRNA from 1 species